GAUCAUGGCUCAGGAUGAACGCUGGCGGCGUGCUUAACACAUGCAAGUCGAACGAAGCUAAGGGAGCUUGCUCCCAAAGCUUAGUGGCGGACGGGUGAGUAACGCGUGGGUAACCUGCCCUAUAGAGGGGGAUAACGUUCGGAAACGAACGCUAAUACCGCAUAAACCAUAAGGAGCUGCAUGGCUCUGAUGGCAAAGAUUUAUCGCUAUAGGAUGGACCUGCGUUGGAUUAGCUAGUUGGUGAGAUAACAGCUCACCAAGGCGACGAUCCAUAGCCGGCCUGAGAGGGUGAACGGCCACAUUGGGACUGAGACACGGCCCAAACUCCUACGGGAGGCAGCAGUGGGGAAUAUUGCACAAUGGGCGCAAGCCUGAACCGCAGCGACGCCGCGUGAAGGAAGAAGGUCUUCGGAUUGUAAACUUCUAUCAGCAGGGAAGAAUAAAUGACGGUACCUGACUAAGAAGCCCCGGCUAACUACGUGCCAGCCGCGGC
rnacentral:rRNA from 1 species